rnacentral:lncRNA from 1 species
UAUAGAUUAUUGAGACCGAGAGGGAUCUUGAAUGUAAUUGAAGAAGUAUUGAGACUGAGGAUAUACAACGUUUUAGUUUCAAAAAUAUGUUGAAUUUUCACAUAUUUUUAAAAUUUGAGUAGCAAGUAAGCAACAGUAGAUCUUAGGGUAAUUGUUUUCUACGAUACCUUAAGAAUAGAUAGAAGAAAUUCUAUACUCACCAGAU